rnacentral:rRNA from 1 species
AUGCACGCAAUUGAGCUGGACCCUAGUGAUGCGACGCUGUACGCAAACAGGAGCCUUUGCUACCUGCAAAUGACUGAAGCAGAUAAGGCUUUGCGUGAUGCUAACACCUGCAUAAAACUGCGUCCUGAAUGGUUAAAAGGUUACUACAGGAAAGGAUCUGCUCUCAUGUCGCUCAAGGAGUACAAAGAAGCAUGUGAUGCGUUCGAAGCCGGACUGAAACUGGACCCUGGAAACACCGAGUUGGAGAAAGUAUUCCAGUAA